rnacentral:rRNA from 1 species
AGAAUCAACGCUGGCGGCGUGCCUAACACAUGCAAGUCGAACGAGAAAGUGGAGCAAUCCAUGAGUAAAGUGGCGGCCGGGUGAGUAACACGUGACUAACCUACCUUCGAGUGGGGGAUAACCUCGGGAAACCGAGGCUAAUACCGCAUAACAUCGUGAGAUCAAAGCAGUAAUGCGCUGGAAGAGGGGGUCGCGGCUGAUUAGCUAGUUGGCGGGUAAUGGCCCACCAAGGCGAAGAUCGGUA